GCCCCCGUAGUAAAGUGGAUAUUACAAGUCCCUCCUAAGGAUUAGUCGUGGGUUCGAUUCCCGCCGGGGGUG
rnacentral:tRNA from 1 species